GCGGUGUUUCUAUCGCGAGACUGAUCCAGCCAUCCCGCGUGUGCGAUGAAGGCCUUCGGGUUGUAAAGCACUUUUGGCAGGAAAGAAACGUUCCGGGUUAAUACCCCGGGAAACUGACGGUACCUGCAGAAUAAGCACCGGCUAACUACGUGCCAGCAGCCGCGGUAAUACGUAGGGUGCAAGCGUUAAUCGGAAUUACUGGGCGUAAAGCGUGCGCAGGCGGUUCGGAAAGAAAGAUGUGAAAUCCCAGAGCUUAACUUUGGAACUGCAUUUUUAACUACCGAGCUAGAGUGUGUCAGAGGGAGGUGGAAUUCCGCGUGUAGCAGUGAAAUGCGUAGAUAUGCGGAGGAACACCGAUGGCGAAGGCAGCCUCCUGGGAUAACACUGACGCUCAUGCACGAAAGCGUGGGGAGCAAACAGGAUUAGAUACCCUGGUAGUCCACGCCCUAAACGAUGUCAACUAGCUGUUGGGGCCUUCGGGCCUUGGUAGCGCAGCUAACGCGUGAAGUUGACCGCCUGGGGAGUACGGUCGCAAGAUUAAAACUCAAAGGAAUUGACGGGGACCCGCACAAGCGGUGGAUGAUGUGGAUUAAUUCGAUGCAACGCGAAAAACCUUACCUACCCUUGACAUGUCUGGAAUGCCGAAGAGAUUUGGCAGUGCUCGCAAGAGAACCGAACACAGGAGAAAU
rnacentral:rRNA from 1 species